rnacentral:rRNA from 1 species
AUUGAACGCUGGCGGCAUGCCUUACACAUGCAAGUCGAACGGCAGCACGGGAGCAAUCCUGGUGGCGAGUGGCGAACGGGUGAGUAAUAUAUCGGAACGUGCCCAGUCGUGGGGGAUAACGCAGCGAAAGCUGUGCUAAUACCGCAUACGAUCUAAGGAUGAAAGCGGGGGAUCGCAAGACCUCGCGCGAAUGGAGCGGCCGAUGGCAGAUUAGGUAGUUGGUAGGGUAAGGGCCUACCAAGCCGACGAUCUGUAGCUGGUCUGAGAGGAUGAUCAGCCAAACUGGGACUGAGACACGGCCCAGACUCCUACGGGAGGCAGCAGUGGGGAAUUUUGGACAAUGGACGCAAGUCUGAUCCAGCCAUUCCGCGUGCAGGAUGAAGGCCCUCGGGUUGUAAACUGCUUUUGUACAGAACGAAAAGGCUCUGGUUAAUACCUGGGGCUCAUGACGGUACUGUAAGAAUAAGCACCGGCUAACUACGUGCCAGCCGCCGCCGUAACAC